GCCUGGCUAGCUCAGUCGGUAGAGCAUGAGACUCUUGAUCUCAGGGUUGUAGGUUUGAGCCCCACAUUAGGUG
rnacentral:tRNA from 1 species